GCCUGGGUGGCUUGGUCGGUUAAGCGUCCGACUUCGGCUCAGGUCAUGAUCUCACGGUCCGUGGGUUCGAGCCCCGCAUCGGGCU
rfam:Felis catus isolate Cinnamon breed Abyssinian chromosome D1, whole genome shotgun sequence.